UCUCUUCAUAUGGCCGACCAAAGCAAUAACAAAGGAAGAAAAGAAAGAACAAGAACCCUAGGGUGAAAAUUGAAGAGAAAAUUGGUGGAUUUCAAGUAAUAAAGCAAUCAAAGGUAAAAUUUCUUGAUUUUGACUUGUGAUCUACCUUUCCCAUGCAUUCUUUUGCAUUUUUCAUGGUUGAAUCACAUGAUUUCAUGAUGGGCAUCUUGCUGGCUGAACACUUAGAGAGAGGUUUUGAUGCUUCAUUUGGUUAGAUUUCAAUGAAUUUUAGUGUUUUUAGUUAGUUAGUGAUGUGUAGCAUGAAAAUCAAGCAAGAAAAAUUCAUGUUCUUCCAUCACCCAUCAUGGCCAAAUUCUCCAUGUUGAAUAUUGAUGAUUAUUUUAAUUUUAUUUCAAGUGAUUUGGUUAGGAAUUAGUGAUUUAUGGUGUGAGAAUCAAGUAGGAAAAAUCAUAAUAUUGAUGCACCAACCAUGGCCGAAUUUUUCAAGAGAAAAUGUGGGGAUGAUUUUGCCAUAUUUCAAGUUAUUUACUUUGUGUUUGAUGAUUUGGAGAAUUGGAAGAAAAAUGGAGUUAAUUGGAGUUAAAUUGGACAUAUUGGGUAAUUAAUCGGUUGGUAGAUCGAAUUAGGCCAUUACCGUUUCAUUUAGGUACACAAUUGAAUUUGUGUGGAACACUGUGUUUAGAUGAUAAUCCAAACAAUUUGCAUUCCAUUUCAUGCAUUAGUAUAGAGCCUGAAUUGGUUUUAUAACAAUUUAGCACAAAUGUAGUAAAUGGUUUAUUGUGCCUUAUGUUUAGGUGGUGAGCAUUCUGGCAAAAGUAAAGAGAUAGUACCCGAAGACCAAGAAUCGGAGUACUCGGAAUUCGACUCCAGAAAUAGUGAGUAACCUUACUAUCGUCUUAAUUAUCUAAAGUGAUUUUUAUCUGAUUUUGUGCUUUUAUGGAAAAUGAGUUUAAAUGGUAAAUCUUUAUGUUUUAUAAACAAAAUGUGCUUAAAUGAAAUGAUUUUAUAAAUUGUCUUAAAAUUGAAUGAUGGCUUUGAAAAUAGAGUAAUUGGAGACCAUUUGAUGAAUUGUGAAUUUAUGGUUCUAACUGAUUGGCUUAUGGCAAUAUUGGCAUGAAUGGCUAAAUUGGUAUUUGUGUUGUAAAUGUAGAAACUGUUGUUUGCCUUGAUAGGCUGGAGAAUGAUAAAAUUGAUAUGUCAUGCUAUUAAAUUUUAUUGAAUUGGUGGGUUAUUGAUUAGUCGCUGCAAUGGAUGGGUUACGUGGACCAGCCUAUUAGAAGAGGUAAGGUAACCCUAUUAUAUUCUUACCUCGGUCGGAGAGGUGUGUAGGGUAACUCCCGAGGUACACUUUUAGAGUUAACUUCAUGCCAAACCACCACGUGAGGGUGAAUUCAGCCAACGCCAAGGAACAGUUGUGUUUUUCAAAAUAAAAAUAUGUUUAUGUGUAUACGAAAUUUUUAAUAGCCUUGGUGGACUCGGUUGGGAUAGUCCUCGACCAAGGUAUCCCUAAUAACUGAGUAUGAUAAUGAUUUUGGCACUAGCUAAAGCUUUUAAGAAAUUCAUAAGCCAUGUUGAUUACAUAAUUUAUAUGAAUUGAUUUUAUUUGGUUGAAAUGAGUUGAAAGGUGAUGAAUUACAAUAUGAUAAUCUAUUUUAAUCUAUCUCCAUUUACUUAGCUUUAGAUAUUUUAGAUGGCAUUUAUUUACUCACUGGGAUUAUAUAAUCUCACCACCCUCCUUUCCACCCAUUUCAGGCUAAGGAUAGUCGACUACAGUUGGACUUGCAUCCUCAAAACUGUAGGUUUAUCGCUUUUGAUACUUUUGGUCGUUUAUGGGCUUACAUGUCACUGUAAAUUAAAUCUUAUACUUUGGUUAUCUGUAUUACAGUAUGUAUAAAUUUAUUUAGCUUUCAUGCUACAAAAUUAUUUACCGGUAACUUUAUAAAUAUUGUUUAUUAAGAAAAAUAAGAAUAAUUUGUAUUGAAUAUUUUUAUUUAUAUUCNUAGUUUUUAAGGUAUUUUAGUGUUUUUAGUUGAUUAGUGAUGUGUAGCAUGAAAAGCCAACAAGAAAAAUUCAUUUUCUCCCAUCACCCAUCAUUGGCGGAAUUCUCCAUGUGGACUAUUGAUGAUGAUUUUGAUUUUAUUUCAAGUGAUUUGGUUAGGAAUUAGUGAUUUAUGGUGUGAGAAAUAAGUAGGAAAAAUCAUAGCAUUGAUGCACCCACCAUGGCCGAAUUUUCCAAGAGAAAAUGUGAGGAUGAUUUUGCCAUAUUUCAAGUUAUUUAAUUUGUGUUUAAUGAUUUGGAGAAUUGGUAGAAAAAUGGAAUUAUUUAGAGUUAAAUUGGACAUAUUGGCCAAUUAAUCGAGUGAUAAAUCAAAUUAGGCCAAUACCGUUUUAUUUAGGUACACAAUUGAAUUUGUGUAGAGCACCGUGUUUAGAUGAUAAUCCGAACAAUUUGCAUCCCAUUUCAUACAUUAGUAUAAAGCUUGAAUUGGUUUUAUAACAAUUUAGCAUAAAUGUAGUAAAUGGCUUAUUGUGCAUAUGUCUAGGUGGUGUGCAUUCUGGCAAAAGUAAAGAGAUAGUACCCGAGGAUCAAGAAUCGGAGUACAUGGAAUUCGACUCCCGAAAUAGUGAGUAACCUUACUAUCGUCUUAAUUAUCUAAAGUGGUUUUUAUCUGAUUUUGUGAUUUUAUGGAAAAUGAGUUUAAAUGGUAAAUCUUUAUGUUUUAUAAACAAAAUGUGUUUAAAUGAAAUGAUUUUAUAAAUUGUCUUAAAAUUGAAUGAUGGCUUUGAAAAUAGAGUAAUUGGAGACCAUUUGAUGUAUUGUGAAUUUAUGGUUCUAAUUGAUUGGCUUAUGGCAAUAUUGGCAUGAAUGGCUGAAUUGGUAUUUGUGUUGAAACGGUAUAUACUGUUGUUUACCUUGAUAGGCUGGAUAAUGAUAAAAUUGCCAUGUCAUGCUAUUAAAUUUUAUUGAAUUGGUGGGUUAUUGAUUAGUCGCUGCAGUGGACGGGUUCCGUGGACUAGCCUAUUAGAGCGGGCACGGUAACCCUAUUAUAUUCAUACCUCAGUAUGAGAGGCACGGAUGGAUAACUCCUGAGGUUAACACUUUAGAGUUCACUUCACGCCAAACCACCACGUGAGGGUGAACUCAGCCAAUGCCAAGGAAUGACUAUGUUUUAAAAAUAAAAACAUGAUUUAUACGUACAUAACUUUUUAACAGCCUUGGUGGAAUCAGUUGGGAUAGUCCUCAGCCAAGGUAUCCUUGAUAACUGAGUAUGAGAAUGAUUUUGGCACGAGCCAAAGUUUUAAGAAAUUCAUAAGCCAUGUUGAUUACUCGAUUUAUGUAAAUUGAUUUUGUUUGGUUGAAAUGAGUUGAAAGGUGAUAAAUUACAGUAUGAUGAUCUAUUUUAAUCUGUCUCCAUUUACUCAGCUUUAGAUAUUUUAGAUGGUAUUUGUUUACUCACUGGGAUUAUAUAAUCUCACCACCCUCCUUUCCAGCCAUUUCAGGCUCAGGAUAGUCGGUAGAUAGCUCACUUUGUUGAAGGCUACAGUUGGACUUGCAUCUUAAAAAACUGUAGGUUUACCGCUUUUGAUACUUUUAGUUGUUCGUGGGCCCACAUGUCACUGUAAAUUAAAUUUUAUACUUUGGUUAUCUGUAUUACAGUAUGUAUGAAUUUAUUUAGCUUUUACGCUACAAAAAAAUUAUUUACCGGUAACUCUAUAAAUAUUGUUUUAUAAAAAAAUAGAAUAUUUUAUUGAAUAUUUUUAUUAUAUUCAAAUAGUUAUAAUUUCACUUUAAAUGAAUGUUUUAGAUAGCUAAACUUAUUUUUGAUUAUGAAAUAUGUGUUUUCCACUUGCAUACUACAUUUUUAGCUAGUUUCAAGAUUUUUGAGGAAAAAUGACCAAAAUGCCCGUGUGAGACAAAAAUUAUUUUUCUAUUGUUUUGAUUUGGAAAUAGUUUAUAAUCUCUCAAACCAUGAUAUUUAACAACUGUCGCUCACAGGGGAGGUGAGAAAAACUUAUAUAAAAGACUUACAAGGUUUUAAUCGGCAUUUUGGGCGAUGAAUGUCUAUCGGGACAUCGCAGCGGUUGUCACGGGCUCGAAGGGAGUACCGGGUCGUGACAACUAGACUGAAAACUGUUGUUAUAUGCAAACUCCACCAAUGACAAGUGUCUGUCCCAACUCCCCAUAAAGUCAAUGACACAAGCCCGUAGCAUAUCUUCCAAAGUCUGAAUGGUCCUUUCUGAUUGACCAUCUGUCUGUAGAUGAAAGGCAAUGCUAAACCUUAAAUUAGUUCUGAGAGCAUCCUGAAAUUUCGGCCAAAAUCGAG
rnacentral:lncRNA from 1 species